AUAUACGACCGUACCGCAAACCGACACUGGUGCGCGAGAUGAGUAUUCUAAGGCGCUUGAGAGAACUCAGGAGAAGGAACUCGGCAAAUUGACACCGUAACUUCGGAAGAAGGUGUGCCCUAUUAGUGUGAAGUGAACAACGGAGCAUGAAUGGGUUGCAAAAAAUCGGUGGCUGCGACUGUUUAUUAAAAACACAGCACUCUGCAAACACGAAAGUGGACGUAUAGGGUGUGACGCCUGCCCGGUGCUGGAAGAUUAAAUGAUGGGGUGCAAGCUCUUGAUUGAAGUCCCAGUAAACGGCGGCCGUAACGAUAACGGUCCUAAGGUAGCGAAAUUCCUUGUCGGGUAAGUUCCGACCUGCACGAAUGGCGUAACGAUGGCCACACUGUCUCCUCCUGAGACUCAGCGAAGUUGAAAUGUUUGUGAUGAUGCAAUCUCCCCGCGGAAAGACGGAAAGACCCCAUGAACCUUUACUGUAGCUUUGUAUUGGACUUUGAACAGAUCUGUGUAGGAUAGGUGGGAGGCUUUGAAGCAGGGUCGCUAGAUCUUGUGGAGCCAACGUUGAAAUACCACCCUGGUGUGUUUGAGGUUCUAACCUAGGUCCAUUAUCUGGAUCGGGGACAGUGCAUGGUAGGCAGUUUGACUGGGGCGGUCUCCUCCCAAAGCGUAACGGAGGAGUUCGAAGGUACGCUAGUUACGGUCGGACAUCGUGACGAUAGUGCAAUGGCAUAAGCGUGCUUAACUGCGAGACUGACAAGUCGAGCAGAUGCGAAAGCAGGACAUAGUGAUCCGGUGGUUCUGUAUGGAAGGGCCAUCGCUCAACGGAUAAAAGGUACUCUGGGGAUAACAGGCUGAUACCGCCCAAGAGUUCAUAUCGACGGCGGUGUUUGGCACCUCGAUGUCGGCUCAUCUCAUCCUGGGGCUGUAGCCGGUCCCAAGGGUAUGGCUGUUCGCCAUUUAAAGAGGUACGUGAGCUGGGUUUAAAACGUCGUGAGACAGUUUGGUCCCUAUCUUCCGUGGGCGCUGCAGAUUUGAGGAAGCCUGCUCCUAGUACGAGAGGACCGGAGUGGACACACCUCUGGUGUAUCGGUUGUCACGCCAGUGGCAUUGCCGAGUAGCUAAGUGUGGAAGAGAUAACCGCUGAAAGCAUCUAAGCGGGAAACUCGUUUCAAGAUGAGAUCUGCCGGGGCCUUGAGCCCCCUGAAGAGUCGUUCAAGACCAGGACGUUGAUAGGUCAGGUGUGGAAGCCA
rnacentral:rRNA from 1 species